GCGUCUGUAGCCUAGUGGUAAAAGGCAGCACUCUANAUGCUGAGGUUGUGGGUUUGAAUCCCACCAGACACA
rnacentral:tRNA from 1 species